UACGUCGGGUGCAAGCGUUAAUCGGCAUUACUGGGCGUAAAGCGUGCGCAGGCGGCUUUGCAAGACAGAUGUGAAAUCCCCGGGCUUAACCUGGGAACUGCAUUUGUGACUGCAUGGCUGGAGUGUGGCAGAGGGGGGUGGAAUUCCACGUGUAGCAGUGAAAUGCGUAGAGAUGUGGAGGAACACCGAUGGCGAAAGCAAUCUCCUGGACGCAAACUGACGCUGAGAUACGAAAGCCAAGGUAGCAAACAGG
rnacentral:rRNA from 1 species